AUAUAUAUGGGUGCCCUCGCAGAGGCAUGAACACUUGUAAUAAAAUCGUAGCCUCCUGGCCAGCCUGAGCCGCACAGCCUGACAGCUCAAUCACUCUAUCCAUCAGGCGAGUCAAUCAAAGCAGCUUUUCGGAGGUUCAGGGAGCCCGAUGUGUCAAUAACGGGGCUCGAGAUGGCGGGGGCUGAUAGCGCUCAUCGAUCCGCGCCCGGCCAGCAGCGGUGGGAAGUCAGAGACCAGUCGGAGUGGAGCGCCGCACCGCGACGCCAGCCCGGCCUCCUGCCAGACCCGGCCGCUGAACCCCAGUCGUAGGCCAGAACCCCUGCCGCCCUUCUCGAGGCGCCCAUCAGCCUCCUGGGAGCUGCGGUCCCUGGAGGCAGGCAGGCCACAGCCUCCUCUCCAGGGGCCUCAUGGCUGCCCCUGAGUACCUCUCGGCCUGGGGUUCUCCAAGCUCAAAGAGUUAUCUGAACCUUGAGCCAAAAUACACCAAAGAAGAGAUUCUCCUCACAUCCUCUACCUCCUGGAAGUUACAGAGUUCUCCUGGAACGGCUGGUCUUCAGACACCAUCGCCAGCAGCUUCUGAUGGCCUGUGACCGGCUGCAUCGGCUCCGUCUCAGGGCAGAUCCUCGCCAGCAGAUGAGCCCCCCAUGCAGGAGCCCCUAGCACAGUGCCCGCUUUCCCAGCCCACAGGCUUACAGGGUGUACUGUGGCUCUGAGCCCCAGGCAGGGCCCCGGAGGAUGCCAGGGAAGCUGUGAACACCCUGCUGUCAGAAUCACCAUGAUUAUCUCUGGCACCUUCAUCAGAGGUGCCCUCAGCCAGAACUCACAGGUACCUGUAGACGCUCUUGAGCCACCCUGCUCCGUAGCACAUCAAGCAGGCUGAGAAGCGCAGGCGGAGGACCGUGGUCUCUCCUGAGGGUCCCAGGAAGGAAGCAGGGGCUGCAGAGGUGCCAGUGGGCCCCAGAAGGACAGAACCGUGUCCCUUUGAUCCCCACUGUGUCUGAGCAGAGAACCUGGCCUUCAAGGGCAGCACGGCUUACAGCUGAAUGAAUGAAAGCAAGUGGCGCUCGCUGAACCCAUCAGAUGACAGUCCAGACAGAGGUCAGCUGUAGCUGUGGGCGCUUUAAUGCAGUACUGACUGUAUGCAGAGCCCUGCUGAGUAUCAGACCCUGUCUAGUCCAGACUUCAUGACACCACGUGAAGGGGCAAUUUGUAUCCCUAUUUACAGAUGAUAACUUCAGGCACAUGGAGGUCAGGAGCCUUUCUGAAGGUCUUCCCAGCCAGCUUGGCUCCAAAGUCUGAGUCAUUUCUGUCCUGGGCUGCUGCUCAAGGGCAGUCCACCUGCCCUCCCCUCACAGUGGGGCUGGACCACUGUCUACUGUCCUUCUCUCUUUUCUGUAGAGAAACAACUGCCGGAGCCUGGAGGAGAGACUCCACCGGCUUUCUCUGAGGGCAAGGAGCCAGGAGGCAAGGACUGGGGAGAGGCUGAGAGAAGGGAAGGUUGGGGGGGUGGGGAGGAAGGAGAGACUCCCCCUUUUCUGGGAUGGGUUCCUGCUGCAUGGUCCAUCCUGCUUUCAAACCCUCUUCCCCCUUCAUGAUCUGAAUCACAGCUUCUCUAUUAGCUUGAGGAUUCCCCUUAACACCUCCUUGUGUUUCUCCUUUCUUGAUAGCUCAGCUAUAUCUGGCAGAGAAGGCAAUGGCACUCCACUCCAGUACUCUUGCCUGGAAAAUCCCAUGGACGGAGGAGCCUGGC